UACGUAGGGGGCAAGCGUUGUUCGGAAUUACUGGGCGUAAAGGGCGCGUAGGCGGCACAGCAAGUCGGGAGUGAAAGCCCGGGGCUCAACCCCGGAAUGGCUUUCGAAACUGCUGAGCUAGAGUACAGAAGGGGCAACCGGAAUUCCCAGUGUAGCGGUGAAAUGCGUAGAUAUUGGGAAGAACACCUGAGGCGAAGGCGGGUUGCUGGGCUGAUACUGACGCUGAGGCGCGAAAGCAUGGGGAGCGAACAGG
rnacentral:rRNA from 1 species